ACAAUGGGAUCGGCUUCAUGUCAUUAGAUUUUGGUGUGUUUGACAAAUGCGUAUUUUGUUACAACGAAAAAAUUGUUUUCAUCUUCAAUGUUCUUCUUCGAGAUCUUCCAGGUAGUCCAGAAGAACCAACACCCAAGCAGAGAUUUGCCAUUUUGGAAUAUGGAUAGUUUAACGCGGGGAAGACAUUUAAAUGAUAUUGUUGUUCACGUAUAUUGGGCAAGGUGUUUUUUCACUUUACCUUUCCAAGCAUAAAAUGGACAACCCUGUACAAUGCUUUGGCUUGGCUUGGAUAGUUUGAAGCUGCAUUGAAAAUGUGGGGAAUGCGAUAACUUCCGAGAAAACUCCAGAAGACGUUGGUGAUUCGCGAAGAACUUUUACCAUAGCAAUAAAUUAUUGUGCAAACUGUCCAAAAAGCCCAUAUAGUAUAAA